UCUGACUGUAUGCAGCCCUUCAUGGAGCGCGUGGCUGCGAGCACAUGGAAAGGAGGUCGAGAUUUGUGCUUGAAAGACACGCACCUAUUCAUCCGAAAUGGAAUAUAAAUAAUAAUGCGCAAAAUAGAGUCAGAGAACGGGAAGACUGUUGAAGACCCUUCCCGCUCUGCUCUACUCAGCUGUCAAUCAACGAGGAUCAGCAGAUUUAUAAUGAAAAUCAAGACACCUGGAUGGAAGUUAUGAAAAGUCCUCCCGGUUCUGACCCCUGCCUGACUCUGGACUACUUUCCUGCCUGCCUGAUCAUCCUGCCUGCCCUGACCUCGAUUCUGCCUGCACUUCGGUACCUAUUGGACUCUGAUCUGGUUUUGACCUUUUUGCCUGUCUACGACCAUUCUCUCGCCUACCCCUUUGGAUUAAUAAACACUGUAAGACUCCAAC